UUCUAUAAGACAGGAUAACCGGCUUGCUAAUUCAUCCGAAGCUGUUCUUCACGUCAGCUACGUCGUCAUUGUCUUCAUCGACAAACCUGAUCGAGGAUAUUUCUUGACUUCAUCCCGAAGACCAAGACAGGAGGAAAGAUGAUUCUGAAAGCUGCGCUGUUCGUCGCCAUGGUGAUGGUGGCCACCCCAGCAACUGGGUCCUAAGCUGUGCUGCUGUGCAAACGUAUAGGCCUAUACCGGUAUGUGCCCUGCGACUGGAAAGCUUACCCGUGGAGCACUCAUUCAGCGAUUGUGGUGGAAGCGCGAUUAAAGUGGAGCUCGGCUCAAUCAGGCUCCCCGACCCCAUCGUCCUCCGUGCCGGACGACAGGAGAGUAUUGGGGGUAAAGCUUCUUUGAAAAAGGAUCUACCAGAUAGGCUGAAAGUGAAGCUCAAGGUUGAAAAAAAGAUACUCUGGGGAUAUGUGACUGUGCCGUGUGUGAACGAGCUUGGUUCGUGCACAUACGACAUCGCCUGUAACAAUCCGAUAGUGACGCAGCUCGGAAUAAAGUGCCCUGUAAAGGCAGGGGACCACUGCCUCAACAAAGUGAUCACCAUUCCCAACAUUUCCAUCCCGUCGUUCCUCGCGAGUGGACAAUACAAGAUGAGGAUGGAAGUGAGGAGUUAUUACUCUGGUGAGAUGCUCGGGUGCGGCCAGGCCCAACUGGCCAUCAGCACGUGAAUUUGCCAUAAGAUAGAACCAUUGCAAAUGUUGCCCAAGAGAGAGGAGAAAAAAAAACACAUUUCAAACCCUCUUUACUUUCCUGGUAAUUGACUUUUAAAAGCCGGUUUUAUUUGAAAUAAGGUUCCACAAACCUGUAACUUCCUUGAUUGUGUUUCUCCCUCUUUCUGGAUAUAUAAUUGCAAAUUGGUUCUAAGGCAACGUCCAUGCACGCCCAUUCAGAACAAUUGUAUAUACAUAUAGAUAUAUACAUAUAUAUAAAUAACAUACCAUUCUUUGAAUAGUAAUAUACAGUAGUGGAUUUCACACUUUUCAAUCAGGGCCUUUUUCGACUUUUGUGGACGAUAACGUUUAACUCUUUACAAUAAAGCUUACAUAAUUUCAAACAGUGACGAGAAUAUAAUCCUAUGUAUACAUAUAAAACAGAUGUUAAUUGCUCUGGAUCUGUAAUAUUGUUUUAACAUCUCUCAAAACAUCAACUUGUUGCGUUUGUUUCCUUCUUUAUGACUACAGUUAACCAAUUUGAUGAUAUGUUUGCCUAUACUAUAAAUCACAUUGUAUAUUUAUAUAUAUACUACACUUGUGUUUCUGUUGGGAAAGAUGCAAAACAAAAAUAAAGGACGUCAAACUCA